GUGUGGCUGAGCAGGGCCCAGGGAGCUGUGGGUUUUUCUUGGGGCCCAGAGAACCCCGAGCAGAGAUGGAGGCCCCUUCUCCCUCCGCCCGGCACACACUGGGACCUUUCUUCG
rfam:Myotis brandtii contig320068, whole genome shotgun sequence.